UUUAAGGUUCGAUAAGGAAGAGAUGCUGUGGUAGUAAAAUGGAAGCCACUCUUGAAUCUUUAUUUUGUUUACACUUUCCAUAUGAAUAUUAUAAUUACCCUUUUAUAUAUCACAGGAACAUAGCAUCCUUCAGGUGGAAAAUAAUUGUCUGUCAACUGGGACACAACGUGCAAGCAGACUCAAAGAUUUGUCUUUUGGCCGAAAGUUCGGGAAUGAAGCGGACUUUAAAAACGUUUGGGGCUCUGCCAAGCACGAUCUUGGCUCUCCAAUUAUUUUGAUGCCGCUUAGAAAUUAUAGGAUAUUGGAUGAUUGGUUCUCUCAUGAGUUUUCUGCCCAUUAUUCAACUUUAAUAUUAACAACCAACUGAUAUCGAUGAAAAACCGCAAAUCUUUGAAAGAACAAAUACUACCUUAUGAAUUAUUACAAAACCAAUAUGAGAAACACGGACUUAAAAUAGACUCACCCACACAUCUGUAGAAACAAUGGCUUGGAAUAGCGUCGAGGGACUUUUGAAAAAUCCCUUAUCAAUUCAACACUUCUGGAUACACCAUCGGAAUGUGGCCGCCACUUGCAGCCGGCAAUUGCCAACAAUUGCCAGUUGCGAGACAUCAUAUGGAAAACUUCCAUGCCCCGAAGGGAUGAUGACAAAUAAGGAUGAGUUUACUAGCAUAUUACUCUCUUUCUCGCUUUCCUUCCGCUGAUUUAAGAUCCAUCUAGUGGAAUCACUUGCAACGCCAAGAGGGCAAGAAAAUAAAUAAGAGGUUGCAUCUUGCUUCGCAGUGCAAUGAGUACAUACCCUUAAUUGGUCUCUCAAAGGGAAACGGCGCUGCGGAUGACUAUAGAAGAUUUAUGCAGCUGAAAUGCGAAUGGAUCGGACUAUAUUGGUGUUUAUAAUUGCAGUCCCGAAACCGGAUUUCAUUAUUUUGGACAAUAUUAAAGUUAAGUCAUCAUUAGAAAAUGCAAUCAACACUCCCCAGAAGAUAUUAGAACCUUAUCUCUGUAUGUAGGGGAUCUAUCUUUUAUAGUAGUUGAUACCAAAUAUUCUUAUUCAGCCUCCUCGCAC
rnacentral:sRNA from 1 species